AUGCUUGUAGCUUAAAUUGGAUAAAGUAUUAAAUUGCGAAUUUAAUGAUUGAAAGUUCGAGUCUUUCCAAGCAUA
rnacentral:tRNA from 1 species